GCGGCCCCUGGACAAGACUGACGCUCAGGUGCGAAAGCGUGGGGAGCAAACAGGACUAGAUACCUGGUAGUCCACGCUGUAAACGAUGUCGAUUUGGAGGUUGUUCCCUUGAGGAGUGGCUUCCGGAGCUAACGCGUUAAAUCGACCGCUGGGGAGUACGGCCGCAAGGUUAAAACUCAAAUGAAUUGACGGGGGCCCGCACAAGCGGUGGAGCAUGUGGUUUAAUUCGAUGCAACGCGAAGAACCUUACCUACUCUUGACAUCCAGAGAAUUUAGCAGAGAUGCUUUAGUGCCUUCGGGAACUCUGAGACAGGUGCUGCAUGGCUGUCGUCAGCUCGUGUUGUGAAAUGUUGGGUUAAGUCCCGCAACGAGCGCAACCCUUAUCCUUUGUUGCCAGCACGUUAUGGUGGGAACUCAAAGGAGACUGCCGGUGAUAAACCGGAGGAAGGUGGGGAUGACGUCAAGUCAUCAUGGCCCUUACGAGUAGGGCUACACACGUGCUACAAUGGCGUAUACAAAGAGAAGCGACCUCGCGAGAGCAAGCGGAACUCAUAAAGUACGUCGUAGUCCGGAUUGGAGUCUGCAACUCGACUCCAUGAAGUCGGAAUCGCUAGUAAUCGUAGAUCAGAAUGCUACGGUGAAUACGUUCCCGGGCCUUGUACACACCGCCCGUCACACCAUGGGAGUGGGUUGCAAAAGAAGUAGGUAGCUUAACCUUCGGGAGGGCGCUUACCACUUUGUGAUUCAUGACUGGGGUGAAGUCGUAACAAGGUAACCA
rnacentral:rRNA from 1 species